UCUAAAAAAUAAAAAAUAAAUUUUUUAAAAUAUUAAAAAAAAUGAAGAUUUAUUAGAAAAUCUUUUUUCAAGUAAACGUAUCUCAAUUAGUCCAUAAUAUAUUCUUGGUUUCUCAAACUAUAUGUUUAAACUACAUUUGUUAGGCAUUCAGAUUACUCAACCUUGGAUUCCUUCUAGUUUUCUGGCAAUAGUUUCAAAUUUGGUGUCAGAUAUUAUACAAAGAAUAUAUAUUGCAUUAAAGCCAUGGAGUGUAUCAAUUGGUUCUAGAUUAUGGUGCAGUAGUAAAAUAUAUUCUGUUUUGAUUCCAUGUUCUAAUAAAUUUUUGUUCCAAUUUCUCUAUGAUAGUACAAGUAUGGUGGAAUCCAAGCUGGAAUCAAUAGUGAAACAUUAUAAGAUAUAUCUGAACCAGAAAACAGAAUUGCGCAUGAUGAAUCUCAAGUGGAUAUUGUUUCAAGCUGGAAUAUUGCUAAAAACUUACCUAAGGCAACUCAGGAUCAUUUCAUUUUGAUUGUCUCUGAAUUUAUGUAUAUUCAUGGAAAUACGCACGAGAACAAACUGCAAUUAGAGCAUCUUUAAGGGAUGGCAACUUAUGCACUCCAUCAAUAACUGCUGCAGUUGCAAAAACUUUUGAGUCACACAUGACAGAAUAUCUCAGGGAGCAAAUCAAUUCUUUCUUUGCUGAUAAACUUCUAAGGAUUGUUCGUGAUACCAUUCUUCAUAAGACAAGACAUUUAAUUAAAUCAAAAUUCAUGGGGUUUGUCUUGAUGUUUUUACUACCUAUUAUUUUUUGGCGAAUGUUAAAAUAUGAUUUG